UGGUUAAUAGACAAUAACUAGCUACUAAAAAUAGCUUAUUUGUGCUAUAUAUGCUAUAUAAAAUGUAGAAGCGAACUAUGCAUUAUUAUUCCUGAUAAGACAAACAUCUUAAGAAACUGGAAGAAGUAAAUACACAACGUGAAGCAGAAGUAAUGACAGCUAGAGACAAAUCCUAGACGAUCACAAGGCUACAGAAAUAUGUAGUAAGAAAAGAUGCAUGGGUCAUACGUAGGAUGUGGCGACCGGUUUCCCAUAGACGCUCUCCACGUCAGAUAAAAGACCUAUGGUGCUACAUAUUCUAUUUGGUUGCCGUGACAGUUUCGACCUUUAGGGGUAAGAAGUCACUUUAGAAGACGAAUACAUAUUUGAAGACGUUAAGAAGAAAACCUGUACAAUCCAGCAACAGAAAAAUUCUGGUGGAAAAAAACAAUCUGGUGGAGAUAUUCGAAAAAUUGGGUAAAUACAUUUUGUUUGGAAAAUUAAAUGUGUUAAAUUUGUUUAAAGACCAAAUAAUAUUAAUUUAAAGUUAAAAUCUGAUAAGAAACUAAAUAUUUAAAAUUUAACUGUAUAGAGAAUAAAUUACAGUCAUUCAUAAGUUUUGAUUGAUAGGUAUAUUAAACAAUAUAAUAUGACUGGCUAUAGGUAUCUAUAUUAUCAGGUUAACAUGACCUGUAGUAAAUUUGAGUAAAAUUAAAGUUAAAGAGAAAGUUUAGGGAGUAGGUUUUCAAAAAUAAAUGUUUUGAUAUAACUAAGGAAUAAUAAUAAUAAGGAAACGGAAUAGGGAAUAAAAUAAGGAACUAAUGUUGUCUCCGGAUCGCAGUGAGAACGACGGCAGAGCUGAGGAUGAAAUUUGUGAGUGAUUAACUCUAGUUUCCUAGUUGGCCGUGGUUUUUACUGUGAUUCGUUAAUUUGUGUUUUUUGUUGUUUCGUAUACUAUAUAAUUUUGAGGCCCUUAGUCCAGGCCUUAGAGUUGUUGUAAUUUAACUUUUGAUUAAAAAGUUGGGUUAUGAAAGAAAAAAUCCCAUAUGGUUAAUCUAGGGAUGUUGGUUAUAGUUUUCCUGGGAAAAAACUAAAAUUAUUGGCUCGUUAAAUUGUGAGAUUAUCGCAAAGUCAUUAAUACGAGUUUUAUAGGAGGUUAAAGUUAAGAAUACGACACUUUUUAAAAAAGUGGAGAUAUACGGUAAAUUUUGUCCGUAUAUAAUUUUAUGUAAUUAAAUUUUGCUUUAGAAACGUAAUAUAAACGUUUAAUAUAUUUUUGCUAAUUGCUAUAUUGUAUUCAUUUAUUAAAUGUUGCUUUAAAUUGUUAACAAAAGAUGAUUAGAAUGUGUAAUUUGACAUUAGGUCGGAUUAAUAUAAACAAUAGGUUCUAACACUGUGUUAAAUUUGACGUGUGUAAAAGUCACAAUAUAUAGGAUAAAAUGGGAUGUCAUUCAGAUAGUGGCCAUAUCUGUGUGUCAUCCUGGCUAAUGUAAUAAUAAAGAGAAUGUUUAUAUAAUGUGGAAUGUGUUCUAGGUGAAUGAAACUGCAGUCGUUUAUUUGGGACACAGUUCUAUUUUGGAUAAAUUAUAGUCUGGUAUUGUCAUAGGUGUGAGCUCAGCUUGUGUCAGUGUCAGUCUGAUAGGAAAUGUUUAUGUAAUAAUGGUUAGUGUUUUUAAAAACGAAAUACAAAAUUGUAAAUGAUUAGGUCAAAAAGGUCACAUUACUGACUGAGAAAUAUAAAAUAAUAAUGGCGGAAUUCUAAAACACAAACGGAAAUUCUAAAACAGAAAACGCAAUUAUAAAAUUACUGAUCGAGUUAGGUCAAGAGGUCAAAGUUAGUUUGAAGAUUUAUAAUUAAAGGGACACAUCAAAGUUUAUUAAUAAUUAAAUAAAAUUUAAUUUUAAUUAAGAGUAAGAUUUACAAAUACUUUUUCGAAAUAAUAAUGUUAGAUUAAUAUCAAAAUAAAGUUUAAAAAAAAUAGUAGUAGUUAGUUCUUGGUCUGAUGGCAAUGACAUGUUUGAUUGACGGAUAAAAUUGUACAAACCAAUCAUACUUAGAAGAAAAAAAAAGAAAGUUUCAACUUGACACUAUGGUAGCUGAAACAGACCAAUACAAAUCCAAGAAGAAGAAAUGGUUUACCAGUUUACCAAAUUGACAUUUCCUGAGACAGAAUUUAAAGUGAAACCUGAACUUUAUAAAUAUUACGUGAUGUGUUAUAGUGUUUUGAAAUUAGGACACUUGAAGAUUUAAAAAAAGACAAUUUGUGUUUUCUGUGUUUAGGCUUAGUGGAUUUUCAUAGGAUUUUACAGUGAUGAACUUUUUUUGGAGAACUUUUGCAUGCAACUUUUGAUUUUUGAUUUUUGAUUAUGUGUGUUUGUGUUUUCACAGUUUUGUUAUAUAGUAUAGUAUCAUUGAUAUUUGCCUGUUGCAUGAAUAAUUAUAGGGUUUAGCACAUAGAAGUUUUUAAGAGUCUCCUACCUGUUCAUUUAGCAUAAAUCUUGCAAGUGGGGGAGAUGAUAUAUGUUGAUUUUCUAGAUUUCUGCUACAUUUAUGAAUAGUUAUAUAAUUCUACAGAUGUUGGUAUGGUUAUUGUAAAGGAUUCAAGGGAUCUUUUACCCAAUACCAAGCAAAAAGUCUUAAAGGAAGGGACGAAUGUAAUAAUAUUGCUAGAACUUUUGCUCUUGAAAUAAGAUGGCUUUAUAUUUCAUUAAUUAAUAUCUUUGGCAAGUUAGUAAUUUCAAACAUAUUCACAUAUAUAGUGUGCACUAAAUCAACUUAGUCUGUAAUUGUCAUAUUGUUAUAUAAAAAAGAGUUAUUUAUCGAAAACAUAUGUCACUCAUUUACCACCAGAAUUACACGUGAGUGGAGUUAUUCUAAUUGCAUCAUUUGAUUUAAAGUAACCAAUCAUUUUGUUAAUUACACAAGUUCAGGGCCAUGAUCACGCUUUAUGGUGCAUGAUAUUCAUUUACCUUUAAAAGAAACCGUGGAACCCUGUAAGUCAGACUUGCAUUAGAUUCCAGAGAUCGAGGGUACAUCUGAGUUCCUAGACAGCCGAGAGGCUGGAUAGGGUGGAGAAGUGGUUUUAGCUAUAUAGUAUUGUAAUUUGUGCUAUGCUUGUAUACCUGUAUUCAGUUAUAUGCUAUAUAAAAUGUAGAAGCGAA